CAGUAGCCGCGGUAAUACAGAGGGUGCGAGCGUUAAUCGGAUUUACUGGGCGUAAAGCGUGCGUAGGCGGCUUCUUAAGUCGGAUGUGAAAUCCCUGAGCUUAACUUAGGAAUUGCAUUCGAUACUGGGAAGCUAGAGUAUGGGAGAGGAUGGUGGAAUUUCCUGUGUAGCGGUGAAAUGCGUAGAUAUAGGAAGGAACAUCAGUGGCGAAGGCGACCACCUGGACUGAUACUGACACUGAGGUGCGAAAGCGUGGGGAGCAAACAGGAUUAGAUACCCCUGUAGUCCCUGUCUCUUAUAC
rnacentral:rRNA from 1 species